rnacentral:rRNA from 1 species
UACGUAGGGGGCGAGCGUUGUCCGGAUUUACUGGGCGUAAAGCGCACGCAGGCGGUCUGUGAAGUUUGGAGUGACAGUUGGUGGCUCAACCACCAAAGUGCUUUGAAAACUGAUAGACUUGAGGGCUUCAGAGGGACACGGAAUUCCGGGUGGAGUGGUGAAAUGCGUAGAGAUCCGGAGGAACACCAAAGGCGAAGGCAGUGUCCUGGGGAGUACCUGACGCUCAGGUGCGAAAGCCAGGGGAGCGAACGGG